UGUAUAAUGGGUCAGCGACUUAUAUUCUGUAGCAAGGUUAACCGAAUAGGGGAGCCGAAGGGAAACCGAGUCUUAACUGGGCGUUAAGUUGCAGGGUAUAGACCCGAAACCCGGUGAUCUAGCCAUGGGCAGGUUGAAGGUUGGGUAACACUAACUGGAGGACCGAACCGACUAAUGUUGAAAAAUUAGCGGAUGACUUGUGGCUGGGGGUGAAAGGCCAAUCAAACCGGGAGAUAGCUGGUUCUCCCCGAAAGCUAUUUAGGUAGCGCCUCGUGAAUUCAUCUCCGGGGGUAGAGCACUGUUUCGGCAAGGGGGUCAUCCCGACUUACCAACCCGAUGCAAACUGCGAAUACCGGAGAAUGUUAUCACGGGAGACACACGGCGGGUGCUAACGUCCGUCGUGAAGAGGGAAACAACCCAGACCGCCAGCUAAGGUCCCAAAGUCAUGGUUAAGUGGGAAACGAUGUGGGAAGGCCCAGACAGCCAGGAUGUUGGCUUAGAAGCAGCCAUCAUUUAAAGAAAGCGUAAUAGCUCACUGGUCGAGUCGGCCUGCGCGGAAGAUGUAACGGGGCUAAACCAUGCACCGAAGCUGCGGCAGCGACGCUUAUGCGUUGUUGGGUAGGGGAGCGUUCUGUAAGCCUGUGAAGGUGUACUGUGAGGUAUGCUGGAGGUAUCAGAAGUGCGAAUGCUGACAUAAGUAACGAUAAAGCGGGUGAAAAGCCCGCUCGCCGGAAGACCAAGGGUUCCUGUCCAACGUUAAUCGGGGCAGGGUGAGUCGACCCCUAAGGCGAGGCCGAAAGGCGUAGUCGAUGGGAAACAGGUUAAUAUUCCUGUACUUGGUGUUACUGCGAAGGGGGGACGGAGAAGGCUAUGUUGGCCGGGCGACGGUUGUCCCGGUUUAAGCGUGUAGGCUGGUUUUCCAGGCAAAUCCGGAAAAUCAAGGCUGAGGCGUGAUGACGAGGCACUACGGUGCUGAAGCAACAAAUGCCCUGCUUCCAGGAAAAGCCUCUAAGCAUCAGGUAACAUCAAAUCGUACCCCAAACCGACACAGGUGGUCAGGUAGAGAAUACCAAGGCGCUUGAGAGAACUCGGGUGAAGGAACUAGGCAAAAUGGUGCCGUAACUUCGGGAGAAGGCACGCUGAUAUGUAGGUGAAGCGACUUGCUCGUGGAGCUGAAAUCAGUCGAAGAUACCAGCUGGCUGCAACUGUUUAUUAAAAACACAGCACUGUGCAAACACGAAAGUGGACGUAUACGGUGUGACGCCUGCCCGGUGCCGGAAGGUUAAUUGAUGGGGUUAGCGCAAGCGAAGCUCUUGAUCGAAGCCCCGGUAAACGGCGGCCGUAACUAUAACGGUCCUAAGGUAGCGAAAUUCCUUGUCGGGUAAGUUCCGACCUGCACGAAUGGCGUAAUGAUGGCCAGGCUGUCUCCACCCGAGACUCAGUGAAAUUGAACUCGCUGUGAAGAUGCAGUGUACCCGCGGCAAGACGGAAAGACCCCGUGAACCUUUACUAUAGCUUGACACUGAACAUUGAGCCUUGAUG
rnacentral:rRNA from 1 species